AGUAAAAUGGCUGAAUUAUAAGCAAUAAACUGUAAAUUUAUUUAUAGGAAAAAAUUCCUUUUUACU
rnacentral:tRNA from 1 species